GGAGAGUGGAGAUGCUGGAAUUGCCUCUCUGGCUGUGUGCUGAGCUCUGGCUGCAGGGGACUGUCAGGCCUUGGUGGCUCUGUUCCCUGCUGUCCAUUCCCUGGCCUGAAUUCCUUGCAGCUCCCAGCUGGGGAAACCUGGGAGAACAUGGCAGGGACAGAGGUGACAUUUGUAGCUGCCAACUUGGGGUAAUUUCGAGGGGCCCCAGCAACUGUUUGUGUAGGAAAAGGUGAGGUGCUGCAGAGGGGAGGGAGGUGGCAUUUUGGAGGGGUCCCACUGAGGGGGAGUGGAGAGCCUGGGGCUGGAGUGUGAGUUCUUAAACAGGGAAGAAGGGCAGGAUGCUUGGGAGGGAAACACUCAGGGAAUGUGUAGGGAUGGAAUGAAAAGUUGGGGCGUCAGGAAGAGAAAAUGGGUGAUGUAGAGGAAGGGAAAUGUUGGGUGUAAGAGUUGAUCUCAUCUGUAGAGGACAGAAUGACCAUUUAGAGAUAAAGUGAGGCAGUGAGUGGUGGGCAGGUAGGGAAAAUUUGUGUGUGUAAAAUUUCAGGUCACCUGUAGCAGAGAGGAUGUACCUCCUGAUGGACACUGAGGCAGUCAACAGUGGGCAGGAGGGGAAACCUCUGGGGGUAAAACUUGAGGGAAUGUCCUGGGCAGAGAAUGAAUAUUUUGAAGGAUAAAUGAGGUACUCAGUGGUGGACAGUUGGGGAGUGUUUUAGGGUAAACUUGGGGUAGCCCACAGGGUAGAGAAUGAACAUGUGUUUGUACAGAGGAGCUGAUUACAUGUGGGUAGGUAAGGAGAAUUUUGGGAGUAAAAUCUGGGCAAUCUGUAGCAGAGAGAAUGAAUACCUCGGGGUAAAGUGAGGCAGUCAGUGUUGGGCAGGUAGGGAAAAUUCGUGUUUGUCAAAUUUGAGGUCACGUGGAGCAGAGAAUGUACAUCCUGAGGUAAACUGGGGUAAUCAGUUGUGGACUCAUAGGGAAAAUUGGGGGGGAAAUAUCUGAGGUAAUCUGCAUGGUAGAGGAUGAAUAUUGAGAGAUGAACAUGAGGUACUCAGUGGUGGACUUGUAGGGAAAAUUGUGGGGGUCAAAUCUGUGGCAAUGUGCAGCAGAGAAGGAACAUUUUGGAACAAAGUGAGGAAGUCAGGAGGGGAGAGGCAGAGGAAUUUCUGCGGGUGAAACUUGAGCAAAUCUGCAGGGCAGAGAAUGAAUAUUUGGAGGUCCAAAAGAGGUAAUCAGGAGUGUGCAGGUAGGGAAGACUCUGGGGGUUAAAAAGGAGGUAAUCUCUGGGGGAGGGAAUGACUCUUUUGUGUUCAAGAAAAGGUAAUCAGGAGUGGGCUGGAAGGGGAAAGUUUGGGGGUUAAAAAGGAGGUUCAUUCUCUGCAGGGCAGGGAAUGAACACAUUGAGGUAAGCUGAGGUGAUGAGUGGUGAGAGACACAGACAGUUGUGGGUGUUAAAGUUCAGGUAACCUGCUGGGAAGAGAAGGAAGGUGUUGAGGUGACCUGAGGGUCUCUGCAGUGGCCAAGCAGGGAAAUGUUGGUCUGAGCCCUGAGUUGUUCCCGUGUGGGGCGGCUGCAGCGAGGCCGAGCCCUGGCCCUGAUUUGCCAGCCAUGGGCAGGGGGCUCUGCCAGAGACAGAAUGUGUUCCCUUGAUUGGAAUGAGGAUCCCGUAGCUUCAUCUCCUGGAGGUUCCCUGGGCAGCUGAUCCGCUCUAUCCCGUGUCCUGCUCUCAGUUCCUGCCCAGCCAGAGCCAACUGUGCCAAGGGCACGAGCACUCCCAGCCUGGAUAGGGAAUGGGGGACUGGCUUGUGCACAAUUCGCCUAGAAAGUCAAACGAGAGGAUUGUUGGAGUAACUGGCUCCUUAGGGAACCUGCUGGGAGUAGAGAAGCACAGCCUCAAACCUCCAGCUGUGGGUGGAGUCGUGGAAUGUAAACCAGCACAAACCAAUCCCCCAAAAUGAACCGUGGGAGAGCAGGACCAAAUAAGGGUCAGUGUCCCUGUGGAAAGGCAAAAGGAUUUAGUUGGGACUUGGAUUGUCCCCUUGGGAGAUGCUGGUUUACCCUCCUUUAGGCUGCCAAGAUCUCUCAGUGCAGCGGCUUUGGCCGACACAGCAGCACAAAGAUUGUUC